AAGUAAAGCAACAAAGCCUUUGGGAUUGUGUCACUCUUCCCCUUUUUGAAAAACCCAUACUCAAAAAAGGGAUAUGAACAUUUCUAUGACAUGCAGAGCAACAAAGGCUUUCUUGAGUGGCGUAUAAAAACUGUGCAGCGUCAAUCUAAAACCCCAUCUGCAUCUCGUAGCAGAGUGGAGCUGAAAGGAGGUCCCACAUCAGCAAGAACGUCUAGAUCCACAGAUGACCAGCAAACAGGAGAUGAAUGUAUGGAGGUCAUGUCUCUUCUUCACUACAUUACUGACCAUGACUUAGUCCAGAAAAUUUCAAGUGGGACAGCAACAUGGCAUCUCUUCUUGUAUUGCACCAUCUGCUAACUCCUCAACCAGAAGCAGCCCAAAAAGAUCAGCGUUGGAGAGGCUACUGAUCAUAUGGUUACAUUUCACAAGUCUUGCCACAACCUUGAAGAACAACUCAUGACUAUUAAAGGAAACCCCCAGCCGUAUCUGCUGGCCACAGGGACUUUGGCACAGGUUUUCAGCUUCUACAUAGUCGUGGAUAGAAAACUUCUUCCAUAUCAGUCUUCUACAUCCCUGGGCGCAUUUGAUGAGCUCCCACUUUGUUUUCAGUGUGCAAUAUGAUGAUGCUCUGUUGAGCUUGUACAGAUUCCUGCAGACUACUCUGUACGACAUCGAUAUAGGGACAACAGAAGAAACUCUCAUGAGUCAAAGAGUUAAGAGCAAAGCUGUUAAACAAGCACUAAUUUGCUAAAGCAGCAAACAUGUUCAGAUGUGUCCUUUGUGCUUCAUCGUCUGAUACAGCUUUACUUCUGUUCACCUCAAACUAAUUCAUGCAAUGUAUCAAAAAGGAUGUUGUUUGCAAUUUUCAAGUUAUUCUGGAUUUAGAGGACAUCUUAUUAAGAUACAUGAUCCUACUGACAACACAUAUGUACCUCAACUGUGACACUCAGCUGUACAAUCCUUCUCAGUGCUUAAAUGAUGAAACACCCUCUAC